CAGAUCUGUAGCAAACAUGGAAUUGGGCUCUUCUGGGCACCUCAGCGUGAGAUUGCACUUUAGAAGCAAUAGUUCCUGCAAAUUUGCUAUGGAAGCUUCUGUACAAGAACAUCAAGAGAAAGAACAACCAGUUCAAGAAAGCAUCAUUCAGUCUUGGUCUGUGUUAGACCCAGAAGAAUCUGUGAAAUAGGAGCCCACGAGAAACCAGCUUCCUCUGGUUCUGCUGCUGGUGAAACUGCUUUAAUUAUGCCACUUCUGAAGAAGAUCCUUUAUGCACAGACUCUGACAACAUCCUUCACUCCCUGGUCCCUCGGGGAUCUCUUGCCUGUGCCCUGAGUGUGUCAGCUCCAGUCAGGAAUGGCCCACCGGGAGGAAUGGCCCCGAGCUGUGAGAUGUGGCUCAGCUCUCUGACAUGUCACCAAGUGAACAGCAGUGCCUGCAGUUUGGCUAAUGAGCAACACAAGGAAAAGAAUACCCAGCCUCUCCUUAGAGAUGCUCUGGGGCUUCCAGGAGAGCACAGAGCUCUUCUUCCCAAGGGGUGAAUUACCUAAUUCCAGUAAAUUGCCUACUUCCAGGUUAUACAAGCAACUUUCUUUUACAGCUCUACAAGGACAUACUGCCAUAUAUUGUGCAGAAAAUACAUUAUUAUACCAGUUGCUAAAAGACUAAAAAAUAACUCAAUGUUUUUCUCUUUUUAAAGUAAGCAAUUUCAUUAAUAUUUUUCCAAGCCAAUGAGCAAGUAAAGAAUAUCUCCCUGCAAACCA